AUUGAACGCUGGCGGCAUGCCUUACACAUGCAAGUCGAACGGCAGCACGGGUGCUUGCACCUGGUGGCGAGUGGCGAACGGGUGAGUAAUACAUCGGAACGUACCUUAUCGGGGGGGAUAACGCAGCGAAAGUUGCGCUAAUACCGCAUACGCCCUGGGGGGGAAAGCGGGGGGCCGUAAGGCCUCGCGCGAUUAGAGCGGCCGAUGUCUGAUUAGCUUGUUGGUGAGGUAAAAGCUCACCAAGGCGAUGAUCAGUAGCUGGUCUGAGAGGACGAUCAGCCACACUGGGACUGAGACACGACCCAGACUCCUACGGGAGGCAGCAGUGGGGAAUUUUGGACAAUGGGGGCAACCCUGAUCCAGCAAUGCCGCGUGAGUGAAGAAGGCCUUCGGGUUGUAAAGCUCUUUUGUCAGGGAAGAAACAGCAGCUCUAACACAGUCUGCGAAUGACGGUACCUGAAGAAUAAGCACCGGCUAACUACGUGCCAGCCGCCGCAGUAA
rnacentral:rRNA from 1 species